GAAAAUUGGCAAUAAAAAUAAUGUCUAAAAAAGAAUGUCAAUUAUAAUUUCUAUUGUGCCUUAAAGAAACCCAGGCUCCUCUGAUCAGUACAGCAAAGAAACAGAAUUUUCAGCAUAAUAUCUAGAGACUUCCUUAUAUAAGGGCAAACACCUACAAUGAAAAUACAUUAAAUUGUUAAGUCUCCAUCCCUAUCCUCUAUCAUGCUGCCCAAAUGUGCUUCUUAAGAUGCAAUUUCUUGACAUUUCUUGGAGAUAACACAGAUUUUUGUAGCUCAAUAGCUUUGUAAAUGAGGGUUACAUGUUAAACUCCUUUACUUAUCCUAUGUUUUUUUAAAGUUUCCCUUGCUCUUUGUAUUUUUUGGCUCUUAUAAUUCAUUGCAGAUAUCUCUAUUAUUUAUUUGCCACAUUGUAUCACUUUCAUCCUUUACUUUUCUUUCUUUCACACUGGGAACAAUGUACUGUUAAAUUUACAGGCAUUGACCUGGGCAAAAAUUUCUGAGAUUGUGGAAAAAUAUGUAUAUUCUGGCUAUAAAUUAUGAAAAACUGCAUCAAAAUUAAUAAAUGUUAAAAUGCCUAUAAAAAUAAUCUCAAGCAAAUAUAACUUAACUCGGAUGUGGUUAUGUGAAUUAUAUUUAAAGUCAGAUGUGAGUGCAUUUUAAUGUUUUAUAUGAUGUCAGGCAGAUCUGCAAAACUCUAGAUCCUGAGAAUGUAUCAAGUUGGCUCUGUGGUCCCACUACACUUCGAGAGCAAGAAUUGUGUUUGACUCAUUUUUAUAAUUCUGAAGACUAACAGUAGACACUGAUAUGUGCGAGAAGAUCAGGAUUGUCAAUACUGUCAUUGCUUUUACUGGAAUCCUCAGGAUGAAUUGAAGGUGAGUACAGGAUGUUUCUUUCACUCUGUUCUUAAAUUAGAAAGUAUUCCCUGUUUUUCACUCUCCCACUCUGAUUUGACUAUACAGUUCUCUAUGCAUCUCUUUUCUUGUGUGUCUUCCCAAGUCCAGGUUUGACCAGAGACAAAGAAGCAAACGCUAUAAAUUAACAUUCACAUAUGGUAGGUAAGCCUGUAAGUUGCUUUGGACUUUGCUUGCCUCAGAUAUCUUAGAUCCAAAGUGGGGAGAAAGUGGAUAAAGGUCAGUGUCAAUUGUUGAAAAGGGAAUCACAGGGAGGUCAAAAGCACAGUAAAACUGGAGUCAGAAAGUCAGAAUGCCUGUGUUCAAGGUC
rnacentral:lncRNA from 1 species